rnacentral:rRNA from 1 species
GAUGAACGCUGGCGGCGUGCCUAAUACAUGCAAGUCGAGCGAACAGACGAGGAGCUUGCUCCUCUGACGUUAGCGGCGGACGGGUGAGUAACACGUGGAUAACCUACCUAUAAGACUGGGAUAACUUCGGGAAACCGGAGCUAAUACCGGAUAAUAUAUUGAACCGCAUGGUUCAAUAGUGAAAGACGGGUUUGCUGUCACUUAUCGAUGGAUCCGCGCCGCAUUAGUUAGUUGGUAAGGUAACGGCUUACCAAGUCGACGAUGCGUAGCCGACCUGAGAGGGUGUACGGCCACACUGGAACUGAGACACGGUCCAGACUCCUACGGGAGGCAGCAGUAGGGAAUCUUCCGCAAUGGGCGAAAGCCUGACGGAGCAACGCCGCGUGAGUGAUGAAGGUCUUCGGAUCGUAAAACUCUGUUAUUAGGGAAGAACAAAUGUGUAAGUAACUAUGCACGUCUUGACGGUACCUAAUCAGAAAGCCACGGCUAACUACGUG